UAAAGUACAAGGAAGAAGUAAUCAUUACAAACUCACUCAUCAGGCAAGCUUCUAAUAAGAAUAACUGUUAUGUAAAAGGCAAAUUUAUAAGAAAGGGAUUGGAGCAUGUAUGUGAAACCAUGGUGUUGCAAGAAAAAUAUUCAGCAGG